rnacentral:rRNA from 1 species
GAUGAACGCUAGCGGGAGGCCUAACACAUGCAAGCCGAGCGGUAUUUGUUCUUCGGAACAGAGAGAGCGGCGCACGGGUGCGGAACACGUGUGCAACCUGCCUUUAUCUGGGGGAUAGCCUUUCGAAAGGAAGAUUAAUACCCCAUAAUAUAUUGAGUGGCAUCAUUUGAUAUUGAAAACUCCGGUGGAUAGAGAUGGGCACGCGCAAGAUUAGAUAGUUGGUGAGGUAACGGCUCACCAAGUCAAUGAUCUUUAGGGGGCCUGAGAGGGUGAUCCCCCACACUGGUACUGAGACACGGACCAGACUCCUACGGGAGGCAGCAGUGAGGAAUACUGGACAAUGGGUUAGCGCCUGAUCCAGCCAUCCCGCGUGAAGGACGACGGCCCUAUGGGUUGUAAACUUCUUUUGUAUAGGGAUAAACCUACUCUCGUGAGAGUAGCUGAAGGUACUAUACGAAUAAGCACCGGCUAACUCCGUG